AGCAGAGAUGACAUUGGAUUUGGAAUCCAAAGAUCUGGAUUCAAAUCCUUGUUCUGCUA
rnacentral:tRNA from 1 species